UGGGGAAUUUUCCGCAAUGGGCGCAAGCCUGACGGAGCAAUACCGCGUGAGGGAGGAAGGCUUUUGGGUUGUAAACCUCUUUUCUCAGGGAAGAAGCUCUGACGGUACCAGAGGAAUCAGCAUCGGCUAACUCCGUGCCAGCAGCCGCGGUAAGACGGAGGAUGCAAGCGUUAUCCGGAAUUAUUGGGCGUAAAGCGUCCGUAGGCGGUUUAUCAAGUCUGCUGUUAAAGACUACAGCUCAACUGUGGGAUGGCGGUGGAAACUGAGAGACUAGAGUGCGGUAGGGGUAGAGGGAAUUCCCAGUGUAGCGGUGAAAUGCGUAGAUAUUGGGAAGAACACCAGUGGCGAAGGCGCUCUACUGGGCCGCAACUGACGCUGAUGGACGAAAGCUAGGGGAGCGAAUGGGAUUAGAUACCCCUGUAGUCC
rnacentral:rRNA from 1 species